rnacentral:rRNA from 1 species
GUCUGUGUGUAGUUACAUGGGGUCUGACCUGCCCGUUGAAAAAAAUUGAAAGGCCGCGGUAUAUUAACUGUGCAAAGGUAGCAUAAUCAUUAGUUUUUUAAUUGGAAACUUGUAUGAAGGGUUGGACAAAGAAAAGACUGUCUUUAUUUUUAGUUUUGAAUUUUACUUUUAAGUGAAAAGGCUUAAAUAUUUUUAAGGGACGAUAAGACCCUAUAAAUCUUUAUACUAGGCUAGUUUAUUAUAGAAUAAUUUAUGUUUAGAAAAAAUUAAAUUUGGCGGGUAUUUUGUUGGGGUGACGAGAAUAUAUAAUAAACUGUUCUUAAGAAAAACAAAUAUGUUUGGAUAAUUAAUAGAUCCUUUUUAGAGAUUAAAAGUUUAAGUUACUUUAGGGAUAACAGCGUUAUUUUUUUUGAGAGUUCUUAUCGAAAAAAAAGUUUGCGACCUCGAUGUUGAAUUAAAAUUUUCUUUAUGGUGAAGGGGCUGGAAAAGAGAGAGUCUGUUCGACUUUU